CCGGACCCCACUGCUAUCGGGAUAGGACUAAGACAUGCUAGUCAAGCGCUUUCUAGCUAAUGUGAGAGCGCGGCGUACAGCUCAGUAACACGUGGCCAACCUGCCCUUGGGACGGGAACACCCCCGGGAAACUGGGGUUAAUUCCCGAUAGGUGAAGAAGUCUGGAAUGAUUCUUCGCUCAAAAGACGUUUAUGUCAUGCUCAUAUUCGUCGCCCAGGGAUGGGGCCGCGACCGAUCAGGUAGUUGGUGAGGCAAUGGCUCACCAAGCCUUUUACCGGUGCGGGCCGUGAGAGCGGGAGCCCGGAGAUGGGCACUGAGACAAGGGCCCAGGCCCCACGGGGCGCAGCAGUCGCGAAAAUUUUGCAAUACACGAAAGUGUGACAGAGCUAUCCCGAGUGCCAUCCGCUGAGGAAGGCUUUUACCCAGUAUAAAUAGCUGGGAGAAUAAGGAGAGGGCAAGUCUGGUGUCAGCCGCCGCGGUAAUACCAGCUCUCCGAGUAGUGUGGACGUUUAUUGGGCCUAAAGCAUCCGUAGCUUGCUAGAUAAGUCCUCUGUUAAAUCCACCGAUUCAAUCGUUGGUUUGCGGGGGAUACUGUUUGGCUAGGGGACGGGAGAGGUCGACGGUAUUUCCGGGGUAGGGGUGAAAUCCUAUAAUCUCGGGAGGACCACCAGUGGCGAAGGCUGUCGACUAGAACGCGCCCGACGGUGAGGGAUGAAAGCUGGGGGAGCGAACCGGAUUAGAUACCCGGGUAGUCCCAGCUGUAAACGAUGCAGCUAGGGUGUUUGGGCGGCACGAGCCGCCCUAGUGCCGCAGGGAAGCUGUUUAGCCUGCCGCCUGGGGAGUACGGCCGCAAGGCUGAAACUUAAAGGGAAUUGGCGGGGGAGCAC
rnacentral:rRNA from 1 species